rnacentral:rRNA from 1 species
CACACGACUCUCGGCAACGGAUAUCUCGGCUCUCGCAUCGAUGAAGAACGUAGCGAAAUGCGAUACCUGAUGUGAAUUGCAGAAUCCCGCGAACCAUCGAGUCUUUGAACGCAAGUUGCGCCCGAGGCCACUCGGCCGAGGGCACGCCUGCCUGGGCGUCACGC